rnacentral:rRNA from 1 species
CGUAACACGUGGGUGACCUGCCCUUGAGUGGGGAAUAACGCGACUAACGUCGCGCUAAUACCGCAUAGGCUGGCCGAUUCAAUUUGGUCAGUAAAGCAGCGAUGCGCUUGGGGAUGGGCCUGCGGCGGAUUAGGUAGUUGGUGGGGUAAGGGCCUACCAAGCCGAUGAUCCGUAGGGGGCGUGAGAGCGUGGCCCCCCACAUUGGCACUGAGACACGGGCCAAACUCCUACGGGAGGCAGCAGUGAGGAAUAUUGCACAAUGGGCGAAAGCCUGAUGCAGCAACGCCGCGUGGAGGACGACGGCCUUCGGGUUGUAAACUCCUUUUCCGGGGGACGAGCGAGGACGGUACCCUGGGAAUAAGUCUCGGCUAACUACGUGCCAGCAGCCGCGGUAAAACGUAGGAGGCGAGCGUUAUCCGGAUUUACUGGGCGUAAAGCGCACGCAGGUGGGUCUGC